rnacentral:rRNA from 1 species
UACGGGGGGGGCAAGCGUUGUUCGGAAUUACUGGGCGUAAAGGGCGCGUAGGCGGUUCGAUAAGUCAGCUGUGAAAACCAUGGGCUUAACUCAUGGCCUGCAGUUGAGACUGUCGGGCUGGAGUGUGGGAGAGGAGAGUGGAAUUCCUGGUGUAGCGGUGAAAUGCGCAGAUAUCAGGAGGAACACCAAUUGCGAAGGCAGCUCGCUGGGACGUUACUGACGCUGAGACGCGAAAGCGUGGGGAGCAAACAGG